AACAAUUGGAGGGCAAGUCUGGUGCCAGCAGCCGCGGUAAUUCCAGCUCCAAUAGCGUAUAUUAAAGUUGUUGCAGUUAAAAAGCUCGUAGUUGAAUUUCGGGACCAGUAUGUCGGUCGUGCUUCGGUACGUACUUGCAUUAUUGGUUUCUCCCUUCUGACGAACCAUGAUGUCAUUAAUUUGAUGUCAUGGGAAAUCAGGACUGUUACUUUGAAAAAAUUAGAGUGUUUAAAGCAGGCUCGCGCUUGAAUACAUUAGCAUGGAAUAAUGGAAUAGGACGUUUGAUUCUAUUUUGUUGGUUUCUAGGAUCGACGUAAUGAUUAAUAGGGAUAGUUGGGGGCAUUAGUAUUCAAUUGUCAGAGGUGAAAUUCUUGGAUUUAUUGAAGACUAACUACUGCGAAAGCAUUUGCCAAGGAUGUUUUCAUUAAUCAAGAACGAAAGUUAGGGGAU
rnacentral:rRNA from 1 species